rnacentral:miRNA from 1 species
CCUAGGGCCUGACCCAAAACCAACUGAAGAUACCGAGAAUCAUUCUGUUGACUUCAGUGGGCUUUGGAUCAGACCCUUAA